GAGGUGCCUGGAACCUUUUGGGUACAUUUAGUGUAAAUGGAAUUGUUUCUGUGCUUUUCCUGCUGCUACUUUAGUAUUCAGCUCCAGUCAGCCUUCUAGCCUCUAAACUUUUGUUGCUGUUGUCUCCUCUGCCUCCAUCUUUGUAAAAAUCUUUUUAGUAGUGUACUUUUCAAGUUUGUCGAUUUUACUGUCUUUAACCAGAAGUCCAUCUACCCUUUUUUCCUUGGUCAUGGGUAAGUCGUGUCACUUGUUGGAGGUGUCAAGUAUGUAUUGUGUGCCAGAGGAGAAAAUAUUUUAGUUUUUUUUAGACUAAGUGACCAUAAGAGAUCUUAAUCUUUUAUAUGUUUUUAUAUGUAGAAGUCAGAGUCAUUACUAAAAAAAAAAACUGUCAUUUUUGCCUUAAUGAAGUUCUUCUGCUUCAACUUCGUAGGUUUGGUUUUCCAAUUUGGCAGCAGCACUACAAAUUUUAACUUCACAGACAAUCCAUCAAGAGUGUUCACGUUUGGUGCAAAUCCUUCCACACCUGCAGCCUCAGCCCAGCCUUCAGGCUCAGGGGGCUUUCCAUUUAACCAGUCUCCAGCAGCAUUUACAAUGGGGUCAAAUGGGAAAAAUACCUUCUCUUCUUCUGGAACUUCAGUUUCUGGUCGCAAGAUUAAGACUGCUGUUAGACGCAAGAAUAAAUAAACACAAUGGUGUUACACACAACCGUUUUAACAACAGCUGGUGCCCUGCUUUCAUAUACCGAGUUGUACUACGUGCUGGAGUUAUCUGAAAUCAGAUCUGCCUAAGGACUUCUUUAAUUUUGGAAUUUUUCUCCUUUCUCUUUCUUUACAGAAGCCCCACCCCCACCUCUCCCACCACCUUUUAAAAAAAUAAUAGCCAGACUGAUGACUGAUUCUUCAGCAAAAAUAUUUUGAUCCAGCAUAUUGUUCACUGAUUGGCAUAGUCUGGCUGUACCCAGGAAUAAAGCCCACAUGGCGAAUGGCUUUGUGUAGAACCUCUUCAUCUGCACCACUGUGUGUGUUGAUAAACGUUUAUGGAACGCGUUGAAAUUGUAAUUAUAUCUGAGGAAUUCUGUAUAGAUUAGAAUUCUGUAUAGAUUAGAGGAUGUUGAAAUGAAUGACUUCUAUGCCGAGUUUGUGCUGGUGUAUGUGUGAAGUGAGUGAGUUGGGUGUCUUGUGCACUAAAAUUUUCUGAUAGAGGAAGCCUGAUUAAAGAAUGGUCCGUGCUAAGGACUUGUUAGAUCUAGUUCGUUCUCCAUUUAAUAAUUAUAUGCUGUUUCUAUAUUUUCAUUCUUCUAUCACCUGUCUUGCCUUUUUCAUUAUUUUAUUAUGAAACUUGUGUAAAUACAAUUUUGUUUCUGUACUUUUUUGGCAUAACAUAAAUCUGUGAACUUGAAAUUUUAAAUUUGUGUUAGAAAUUUUUUUUGUUGUUUGUUUAGUCUUGUCUCAGAUUUUAUUAUGUAAAUCCCAUUAUUCAAAGUUGCCUAAAUCCAUUUGGAAAUCUUUUAAAAAAAAUUGGGGAUUCUUAAAGUUGAAUUUAUUGGCUUUUCUGAUCCAGUUUUGUUUGGACCAAAAACCAGUAUUGUACAAAGUAUUAAGCAUAUAUUUUUAUAUUUACUGAAAUGGACUGUGGUGACUUUGGAUAAUAAGGAAAAGUUUAAUAUUAAAGCCAUGUUUAUUACAGUAUAAUUAACAUGUUAAACCAUGGGAGAAAUGCCAUCAAUAAAAAAUUAUGAAAUAC